rnacentral:tRNA from 2 species
GCGAAGGUGGCGGAAUUGGUAGACGCGCUAGCUUCAGGUGUUAGUGUUCUUACGGACGUGGGGGUUCAAGUUCCCCCCCUCGCACCA